ACAGAUGCGACUACAUAAAGAAGAUUUUGAAAUCCUGAAGGUGAUUGGUCGAGGAGCCUUUGGGGAGGUUGCAGUAGUAAAAUUGAAGAAUGCAGAUAAGGUUUUUGCCAUGAAGAUACUGAAUAAGUGGGAGAUGCUGAAGAGAGCUGAAACAGCCUGUUUUCGAGAAGAGAGAGAUGUGUUAGUGAAUGGAGAUAACCAGUGGAUCACAACAUUACAUUAUGCAUUCCAGGAUGAAAACUAUUUA